rnacentral:rRNA from 1 species
CCUACGGGCGGCUGCAGUAGGGAAUAUUGCUCAAUGGGGGAAACCCUGAACCAGCAACGCCGCGUGGAGGAUGACGGUUCUCGGAUUGUAAACUCCUUUUGUUAGAGGAGAUAAUGACGGUAUCUAACGAAUAAGCACCGGCUAACUCCGUGCCAGCAGCCGCGGUAAUACGGCGGGUGCAAGCGUUACUCGGAAUUACUGGGCGUAAAGAGCGCGUAGGCGGGAUAGCAGGUCAGAUGUGGAAUCAUUGGGCUUAACCAUAGAACUGCAUUUGAAACUGUUAUUCUAGAGUAUGGGAGAGGUAGGUGGAAUUAUUGGUGUAGCGGUAAAAUGCGUAGAGAUCAAGAAGAAUACUGAUUGCGAAGGCGACCUGCUAGAACAUAACUGACGCUGAUGCGCGAAAGCGUGGGGAGCAAACAGGAUUAGAUACCCUUGUAGUC